rnacentral:rRNA from 1 species
GAUGAACGCUGGCGGCGUGCUUAACACAUGCAAGUCGAACGAGAAAUGUAGACGGAAACCUUCGGGCGGAAGCCUUCAUUUCGAGUGGCGGACGGGUGAGUAACGCGUGGGUAACCUGCCCCAUACAGGGGGAUAACAGUUGGAAACGACUGUUAAUACCGCAUAAGACCACAGCAUCGCAUGAUGCGGGGGUAAAAACUCCGGUGGUAUGAGAUGGACCCGCGUUCGAUUAGCCAGUUGGCGGGGUAACGGCCCACCAAAGCGACGAUCGAUAGCCGAUCUGAGAGGAUGACCGGCCACAUUGGGACUGAGACACGGCCCAAACUCCUACGGGAGGCAGCAGUGGGGAAUAUUGCACAAUGGGGGAAACCCUGAUGCAGCGACGCCGCGUGAGUGAAGAAGUACUUCGGUAUGUAAAGCUCUAUCAGCAGGGAAGAAAAUGACGGUACCUGAGUAAGAAGCCCCGGCUAACUACGUG